rnacentral:rRNA from 1 species
CAGUCGCCGCGGGAAUACGAAGGGUGCAAGCGUUAAUCGGAAUUACUGGGCGUAAAGCGUGCGUAGGCGGUGAGUUAAGUCUGCUGUGAAAUCCCCGGGCUCAACCUGGGAAUGGCAGUGGAUACUGGCUCGCUAGAGUGUGUCAGAGGAUGGUGGAAUUCCCGGUGUAGCGGUGAAAUGCGUAGAGAUCGGGAGGAACAUCAGUGGCGAAGGCGGCCAUCUGGGACAACACUGACGCUGAGGCACGAAAGCGUGGGGAGCAAACAGGAUUAGAUACCCCGUAGUCCCUGUCUCUUAUACA